rnacentral:misc_RNA from 1 species
CAGCAGCUCAGCUGUGUGUGGUGUGGCUGUGUUGGCUGUGUGUUUCACGACUCAUCCGCGAAAUGAAAUAAUGCAUUUUAUUCGAUUCUUUAUUGAAUUAACCAAGUGCUGCACCUUGACAAAGUGAUAUUGGAAACAUGGGCCUGCAACAGAUGUAGCAGCUGUAACUUAUCGGAGAUUCAGCAUUGCUCAUAAGAGGAAGGAAGAAAGUUUAUUAGCUUUAAUGACCUCGCAGACGUGACCGUGGUUGUGAACACUUGGCUGUAGAUUUAGGUUCAUAAAAUGGAGAGUGUCAGAGAUGAGGAUAGGCGAAGGCGCCUGAGACACCUUGAAGAACGGAUAAAAGAUCCACGCAGUAUAACCAAUAUCGAUUGUCUAUUAGACACUGUACAGGCCCUCGCCUCUGAUUGUGAUCACCCUAGCGUCAGACGUAUGAAAAACGUUGAGGCUUACAUGAACAGAUAUGAUUCCGUUGCCCGUGAUAUCUGUAAAAUGCGAAUGCGUACCGAUGAUUUUACACAAAUAAAAGUUAUUGGACGUGGGGCGUUUGGAGAAGUUCAAUUAGUCAGGCAUAAGUCUACACAAAAAGUAUAUGCCAUGAAACUGCUCAGCAAAUUUGAAAUGAUCAAGAGAUCGGAUUCAGCAUUUUUUUGGGAGGAGAGAGAUAUUAUGGCGCACGCUAACUCCCAGUGGAUUGUUCAACUGCAUUUUGCCUUUCAAGAUAACAAGUACCUCUACAUGGUCAUGGAUUAUAUGCCGGGUGGCGACCUGGUCAAUCUCAUGUCAAACUACGAUGUGCCUGAAAAAUGGGCAAAGUUUUAUUGUGCCGAAGUCGUUCUUGCCCUAGACGCUAUACAUUUAAUGGGAUUCGUUCAUAGAGAUGUUAAGCCUGACAACAUGUUACUGGACAAACAUGGGCAUUUGAAAUUGGCUGACUUUGGGACCUGUAUGAGAAUGGAUGCGGAUGGACUUGUGAGAUCGGACACAGCUGUUGGUACCCCGGAUUAUAUAUCUCCAGAAGUUCUUCAAUCUCAGGGAGGUGAAGGAGUUUAUGGUAGGGAAUGUGAUUGGUGGUCAGUUGGAGUUUUUCUGUACGAAAUGCUCGUCGGGGAUGCACCAUUCUACGCUGACUCCUUAGUUGGAACCUAUUCAAAGAUUAUGGAUCACAGGAAUUCUUUGCACUUUCCACAACAAGAAGUAGAUAUAUCCCAUGCGGCGAAGAGUUUAAUCUGUAAUUUUUUGACGGAUCGUACAAAAAGAUUAGGAAGAAAUGGCGUUAACGAAAUCAAAAGCCAUGCAUUUUUCAAGAAUGACCAGUGGACCUUUGAUAAUUUGAGAGAAUGCGUACCGCCAGUUGUACCAGAGCUUUCUGGUGAUGAUGAUACUAGCAAUUUUGACGAUGUUGACAAAGAAGAUGGACCAGAAGAAAGUUUUCCUGUUCCAAAAGCAUUUUCAGGAAAUCAUUUACCCUUUGUUGGAUUCACUUAUUCUGGAGAUUAUCAACUGAUGAGUAGCGGUGGGGGGGAAAGUGUCGAUGGGAUUGUUAAUCAUAUAAAUAAUGGUAUCAGUGAUGAUGUAAAAAUAUCUCAACUAGAAAAUUUAAUCGAACGUGAAAAACGGCAAGUUGAAACGCUGGAGGCCCGACAAAGAGGUCUGACAUCACAGCUGGAAGCUGUUACAAGGCGGGAAGCCGAAUUACAAGAAGAAACAGCGCGAGCAGAUAAAGAAUUAACACUGCUUAGACAUAACUUCAAAGAAACGCAACGCAGAUUAGAGCAUGAGGCUGAGGCGCGACGAAAAGUUGAAGCUGCUUUGAUCGAACUCAAGAAACAGUUUGAAGAAGAGCUGUUCAAAAAGGCAAGAGAUGCUACCAAUUCCCAUCAGACAUCUGAGAAAAUAAUAACUCUUGAGAAGCAAUUGAAAGAAAUGCAGGCAAAACUUGAGAGAGAAACUGAAAGUGCUGGUAGACUUAGGAAACAAGCCGCAGAAGUAACUGUUGCCAGACAAGCUGCUGAGCAAAUGACCAAUGAGCUCCAAGUUGCUAGAGCGCAGUUGCAAGCACAGAGAGAUUCGUUGCAGCAAGAAGUCGCUGCAUUACAGGGCCAACUUUCCAAAGAGCGUAGCUCUCGGUCUCAAGCAUCUUCCUUGACUGCUGAACUUGAGACACGAUUAUCUGGCUUACACGUUGAGUUGGAGCACAGCCGUCGACGGGAAGAAAAAGCAACUUCGGACAAUAGACAGUUAGGGGAGAGGGUAUCUUCUCUUGAAAAAGAAGCUGCAGGAUUGACUCUAGAAUUGAAAGCAGCUCAAGCAAGGUAUAAUCAGGAAGUAGCUGCACAUCAAGAAACCGAAAGAUCCCGGAUGCUCUCCAAAGAAGAAGCAAACAUGGAAGUCGUUAAAGGACAAGCUGAUAGAACUUUUAAAGUUAAAUUGAAUGAGGAAAAAAGCGGAAGGCAACGAGCAGAAUUGCUAGCUCAAGAAAAAGAAAGGCAAACCUCUAUGCUGUCCGUCGACUAUCGUCAAAUUCAGCAACGAUUACAAAAGCUGGAAGGAGAACACCGACAAGAAGUGGAGAAGGUUAAAGCAUUACAAGGCCAAGUUGAACAAGAGCAACAGAAAAGAAAUGUUCUGCAAACAGAGUUUGGCCAGCAAUCUUCGGAAGCUGGUAGACUGAGAGCUCGAGAACAACAAUUAGUCGGGGAAGUGGCUCACCUCAGGGAAGCUAAAAGACAAAUUGAAGAAGAACUACACCAUCUAAAAACUCAGCGAAGUGUGGAUUUGCUGCAAAGUAAAGAAUUACAAGAACAGUUGGAAGCUGAGGCUUAUUUUUCAACACUUUACAAAACCCAGACUCAGGAGCUCAGGGAAGAGCUAGAUGAUAAAACAAGACUCCAGCAGGAAUUAGAAGAGGAACGCUGCUCACUGGUUCAUCAGUUACAGCUUUCACUGGCUAGAGCUGAUAGUGAAGCAUUAGCUAGAUCGAUUGCUGAAGAGACGGUUGCGGACUUGGAGAAGGAAAGAACUAUGAAAGAAUUAGAGUAUAAAGAUAGUAUCACUAAGCAUCGACAGGAAUUAAAUUCUAAAGAACAGUCAAUACUAGUGCUCAAGGACAACGAAAAUGAGAUGAAGAAAACCACUGAGUUGUAUUUGAAGGACAAAGAAGAUUUAAAUAAACGUCUGAAAGAUUUACAGGAACAACUUAACAAAGAACAUUGUAAUGUGGAAGAGAUAGAUCGACUCAGCGGUAAACUUAAAACAGAACAGCUGCUGAAACAGCAGGCGGUUAAUAAACUCGCUGAGAUAAUGAACAGAAAAGAUAUAUCAUCGGGCACUAAAACUAGAAACAAAGUUCCUUCUGCUGAUUUGCGAAAAAAAGAAAAAGACUGCCGCAAAUUGCAGCAGGAGCUCACCCAGGAGAGAGAAAAAUACAGUCAAUUAGCUGCUAAGUGGCAAAAGGAUCUUCAAGAUUUGCAGGCCCAGCUAGUUGAAGAGAAUCAAGCAAAACUGAGGCUGCAAAUGGAACUUGAUUCCAAAGAUUCUGAAAUAGAAACGCUACAAAUGAAAAUAGCCUCAAUAAAUUCAGAGACGGCUAGCCUUUCCUCGGCGGAAAAUGACGGGGAAGAUACAGUCCUGUCCGAACAUGGUGCCUUAAGAUUAGAGGGUUGGCUCAGCGUACCCAACAAACAGAAUAUUAAACGACAUGGUUGGAAGAAGCAAUACGUCGUUGUGUCGUCUAAGAAAAUAAUAUUUUACAACAGCGAAAACGACAAGAUGAACGCUGAUCCAAUACUGAUAUUAGAUUUAAGCAAAGUCUUCCACGUUCGAUCUGUGACCCAAGGAGACGUGAUUCGAGCCGAUGCCAAAGAUAUUCCAAGGAUAUUUCAAUUAUUGUACGCAGGAGAAGGAGAGGCGAGACGCCCAGGUGACGAAAGUAACGCGUUGCCAGGUGUAGAACUUCCACAAUUAAUGGAUAAGCCUGGUACUUUGUCAUUGAAAGGUCACGAGUUCAUUUCUAUAUCUUACCACAUGCCAACUACUUGUGAAGUUUGUACAAAGCCCUUAUGGCAUAUGUUCAGACCACCACCUGCUCAAGAGUGCAGAAGGUGUCGAAUCAAAGUGCACAAAGAGCAUUUGGAGAAAAAGGAAGACGCAAUUGCUCCAUGUAAAUUGCAUUACGAUCCUAAUAGUGCAAGAGAAUUGUUGGUCUUGGCAGGGAGCCCGGAUGACCAAAAAUAUUGGGUGACAAGGCUGUCAAGAAGGAUUCAAAAAUGUGGUUACAAAGCCAACUCACAUGUUGAUGGAACAGGGCAGCGUGUUUCUCCAAGGUAGCGUAGGUGGCCAGCGCAUCCGCGAACUUAGUAGCUCUUGUGUUGUGGCGUCGCAUGAAUGGGUGUAGAAAGGAGGGAAUCUACAAGAUCGACGCUAAAGCCUUACUUGUCGGUUCCACAACGAUCUGCUACUCUACCUGCCAACGCUGGUAUGGGCA